AAGGACCGAACUCGUGGAUGUUGAAAAAUCCUGAGAUGACUUGAGAGUAGGAGCGAAAGACUAAUCAAACCCCGUGAUAGCUGGUUCUCUCCGAAAUAGCUUGAGGGCUAGCGUCGGACAAGUACUCAAAGGAGGUAGAGCUCUGGAUGGCUUAGAGUCCCCACCAGGAUAUCAAAACCAAUCAAACUCCGAAUACCUUUGAUCCCAAUAAUCCGGCAGUCAGACGGCGAGGGAUAAGCUUCGUCGUCGAGAGGGCAACAGCCCAGACCAUCAGCUAAGGCGCCCAAAUACCGUUCAGUGGAAAGGAUGUGACGUUGCAUAGACAGUGAGGAUGUUGGCUUAGAGGCAGCCACCAUUUAAACAGUGCGUAAUAGCUGACUCAUCGAGCGAUGUCGCGCCGAAAAUGAUUGGCGAUAAACGGUAUGCCGAAGCUAUGGAUUCCAUUUUGUUUCGACAGAAUGGAGUGGUAGGAGAGCGUUCUCAACGCAGCGAAGCCGAACCGAAAGGGAUGGUGGAGUGUUGAGAAGUGAGAAUGCAGACAUGAGUAGCGAUAAACCAGAUGAGAAUUCUGGUCGCCGUAAACCCAAGGUUUCCUGGGGCAGGUUCGUCCUCCCAGGAUUAGCCGGGAGCUAAGAUGAGGCCGUAAGGCGUAAUCGAUGCACAGAUGGUUAAUAUUCCAUCGCCGUUCCGGUUUAAGGCCAGCAGGUACGCAUAGAGAAAACCCACUAGACAAUCGAAUGUCGAGCCGAGCCUUCGGGCAAAGCGCAUGGGCGGACAAUGUGCCGAGAAAAGCUGCUGGUUGUUCCCCGGAGCGCCCGUACCGCAAACCGACACAGGUGGGUGAGUCGAGUAGACUAAGGCGCGCGAGAGAAACCUUUCUAAGGAACUCUGCAAAAUAGCCCCGUAACUUCGGGAGAAGGGGUGCCCAACGCAAGUUGGGUCUCAGUAAAUUGGGUUUAGCGACUGUUUAACAAAAACACAGCACUCUGCCAAGUCGUGAAGACGACGUAUAGGGUGUGACACGUGACCAAUGCGGAAAGAUCAAGGUGAGUUGUUAGCCGCAAGGCGAAGCUCCGAGCCUAAGUCCCCGUGAAUGUCGGCCGUAACUAUAACGGUCCUAAGGUAGCGAAAUUCCUUGUCGGGUAAGUUCCGACCUGCACGAAUCGUGUAACGACUGAACCGCUGUCUCGGAGAGGAUCUCGGCGAAAUUGUAACUGCGGUGAAGAUGCCGCAUGCCCGCAGUAGGACGGAAAGACCCUAUGCACCUUUACUGUAAGCUGAUAUUGUGUUCUGGUUCAUGAUGCGUAGCGUAGGUGGGAGGCGUUGAUGCCACGGUUUAGGCCGUGGUGGAGCUGAAAUGUGAAACACCACUCUUUGUGAAUUAGGAUUCUAACCUCCGCCUGUUAGCCAGGGGAGGGACAGUGUCUGCGGGUCAGUUUGGCUGGGGCGGCUUCCUCCCG
rnacentral:rRNA from 1 species